GCGUGGGAGAAGGCUUGGUUGUAACCUUGGGAGAGACGUCCAGAAUAGCACCGGUAACUCUGCCACGCCCGUACAGGUGCAGCUUAUCGGAAUUACUGGGCGUAGCGCAGGUAUAAGACGGUGAAAUCCCGGCUACCUGAAUGCACUGGACUGAGUACGAGGGAUGGAAUCCGUGUACAGUAAAUGCGUAAUAUGGAGAACACCGUGCAAGGCCUGCCGUGGGGAGCAAACAGGAUUAGAUACCCUGGUAGUCCACGCCCUAACGAUGAACUGGUGUUUACAAUAACGCGUGAAGUCGCCUGGGGUCGGCCGCAAGGUAAAAAGGAUGACGGGCGCAAGCGGUGGAUGGGUUAAUUCAACAAAACUCCCUGACGUAUGGUGAUGC
rnacentral:rRNA from 1 species